UUUAAAUCAAGUAAAAUGAACUAAAAUGGAACAAAGAAGAAGGGUAGAAACAAUUGGCGCCAGUUAUCCAGUAGUGUCCAUGUCGAGAUCCAACUGCUGAGAGAAUCACGUCUGGAUAAAUAUUCUUAUACAGCAAAUACUAGCUCCCACGAACUUCUCUUCAACCCGGACACUGCAUAUAGAGUCCUAAGGAACUCAGAUGUCUGAUGGUCUCGGUCUCUUAUCAAAACACGGAAAUAAUGACCCCCGGCUAUCUUAACUCACCAGGCAACAGGCAACAUGUCUGCUAAUAAGUCCUUUAUUUUCAGGCAACUUUUACCCUCAGCUUUUAACAAAUAACCGGCCAUUGUCUUCCUAAUACUACAGUUGUCAGUUCUCGUAACAAAAGCAGCCAAACAUCAAACAACAGAAAGUACCCACUGACUUCGGUCAUAUCAACUUUGCACUGCAUGUUUGAAUAAUAUGGCUCGCUGGUAUUAUCUGUUAUGUACACAGUUGGACAGUCGCGUUCGCUUAGUGAAACAAUUAGGUGAUUUUAUCUUGGUUCACCACCUGCAGGCUGUCUCCCUGUCCCGAAGCUGGUGUUGCUUCUAUUCACCAUGAGUACGAGUUCUGCGAACCCCCAGCCGAGCCGGAAACCCACAAUAAGAAGGGGGAGACGAAAGGAGAAAGAAAUACUUCCGCUGGCGCUCAUUAACGCCUGCCACGGAUUUGUAUCCCGUGACUCUGUUAACAUCGAACAUUUUUCAUGUCCAAUUUCCGACACAGACCGAAGACGGAAGACCUCUAAUUUUCCUCAGCAAUCGUUUAAUUUUCCUUAAAAUUAUUCCCCCGACAAUGAAGAGGACGAACCGGAUGCGCUGCAUAUCAACUCUAUCUGAUCUUCCAGGAGCAUUUAGAAGGGAGGAGAUCCUCAUCUUCUACAAAAAAAGAUUAGAGCCAACUACGGACUAUUAGUUCCC